GCUCGCUCCAGCAGGGCACAGAAUAAAACUGGAAUGAUACUGAGGAGAUUAGCAUGGCCUCUACACAAGGAUGACACACAAAUUCAUGAAGUGUUCCAUAUUAAA